CUUUUGUUUUUCGAUUUCUCCGUUUAUUUGUUCUGAGAAUUUUCUUUUUACCUUCUUGCUCCACGUGUAAACUUUUGUCAUUUGUUCAAGAAAAAAAAGUGUUUCGAUCAGUAAAGAUAAGUAAAAAACAAAAAAGAAA
rnacentral:ribozyme from 1 species